rnacentral:misc_RNA from 1 species
AACUGAUACUACCUGCGGGAACCUGCGGAAGGAUCAUCAUUGAACAAAGCUUUUUCGAGCCAGGGAGGGGGGGAGGAGAGGAAGCUCUCUUUCGUUCUCCCGGCUUGUAAAAACAAACAACUUUGAUACCCAAAAAGAGUCAUUCUCUUUCCUGCUGGGGAAGAGAGGGGGAAACCCCAGACAAACACAAGUAGUUGCCUGAUAAAAAAGAGUUUGGUUUGGAAAGAAACAUGAAACAAC